rnacentral:rRNA from 1 species
UACGGAGGGGGCUAGCGUUGUUCGGAAUUACUGGGCGUAAAGCGCGCGUAGGCGGCUUUGUAAGUUAGAGGUGAAAAGCCCGGAGCUCAACUCCGGAAUUGUCUUUAAGACUGCAUCGCUAGAAUCAUGGAGAGGUGAGUGGAAUUCCGAGUGUAGAGGUGAAAUUCGUAGAUAUUCGGAAGAACACCAGUGGCGAAGGCGACUCACUGGACAUGUAUUGACGCUGAGGUGCGAAAAGCGUGGGGAGCAAACAGG